rfam:Schistosoma mansoni strain Puerto Rico chromosome 1, complete genome
AUUCAACUGAUAAGUCCCAAAUAGGACGAAAUGCGCGUCUUGGAU